rnacentral:rRNA from 1 species
UACGUAGGCAGCGAGCGUUGUUCGGAAUUACUGGGCGUAAAGAGUGUGUAGGCGGUGCUCCCAGUCUGUUGUGAAAUCUCCCGGCUUAACUGGGAGGGUGCAGCGGAAACUAGAGUGCUAGAGGGUGGGAGAGGUAAGCGGAAUUCCUGGUGUAGCGGUGAAAUGCGUAGAUAUCAGGAGGAACACCAGUGGCGAAGGCGGCUUCCUGGCCUGUAACUGACGCUGAGACGCGAAAGCGUGGGGAGCGAACAGG